rnacentral:rRNA from 1 species
GACGAACGCUGGCGGCGUGCUUAACACAUGCAAGUCGAACGGUGAACCUCUUCGGAGGGGAUCAGUGGCGAACGGGUGAGUAACACGUGGGCAACCUGCCCCCGGCUCUGGGAUAACUCCAAGAAAUUGGGGCUAAUACCGGAUGUUCACCGCUUCCCGCAUGGGUGGUGGUGGAAAGGGUUUCCGGCUGGGGAUGGGCCCGCGGCCUAUCAGCUUGUUGGUGGGGUAGUGGCCUACCAAGGCGACGACGGGUAGCCGGCCUGAGAGGGUGACCGGCCACACUGGGACUGAGACACGGCCCAGACUCCUACGGGAGGCAGCAGUGGGGAAUAUUGCGCAAUGGGCGGAAGCCUGACGCAGCGACGCCGCGUGGGGGAUGACGGCCUUCGGGUGGUAAACCUCUUUCAGCAGGGACGAAGCGCAAGUGACGGUACCUGCAGAAGAAACACCGGCCAACUACGU